rnacentral:misc_RNA from 1 species
UUUCCGUAGGUGAACCUGCGGAAGGAUCAUUAACGAGUUAGGGUCUUUCAGGCCCGUCCUCCCAACCCUAUGUUUAUUGACCCUCUGUUGCUUCGGCGCCCCCGCCUCACGGCCGCAGGAGGAUCGCUGCAAGACGUCCUCUGGCUAGCGUUCGCCGAUGGACAACCCCUAAAACUCUGAAUGAAUCGUGUCAUAAGUCUAAUUCUAUGAUUAAAUUAAAGCAACACUUUCAACAACGGAUCUCUUGGUUCUG